rnacentral:rRNA from 1 species
GACGAACGCUGGCGGCGUGCUUAACACAUGCAAGUCGAACGAAGUGGCGAACGGGUGAGUAACGCGUAAUCAACCUGCCCUUCAGGGGGGGAAACCAGUUGGAAACGACUGCUAAUCCCGCAUACUGAAUGAGGGGAUUGCGUCUGAUUAGCUAGUUGGAGGGGUAACGGCCCACCAGGGCGAGGAUCAGUAGCCGGUCUGAGAGGAUGACCGGCCACACUGGGACUGAGACACGGCCCAGACUCCUACGGGAGGCAGCAGUAGGGAAUAUUCGGCAAUGGACGAAAGUCUGACCGAGCAACGCCGCGUGAGUGAAGAAGGUUUUCGGAUCGUAAAACUCUGUUGUUAGAGAAGCGGUAUCUAAACAGAAAGCAACGGCUAACUACGUGCCAACAGCCGCGGUAAUAC